AGUCUUAUAUUUAAUUAAUAAUAUUAAAUUGCAAAUUUAAAGUUGAGAAAAAUCUUUAAGGCUU
rnacentral:tRNA from 1 species